AGCGAACGCUGGCGGCAGGCCUAACACAUGCAAGUCGAACGAACUCUUCGGAGUUAGUGGCGGACGGGUGAGUAACACGUCGGAACGUGCCUUUUGGUUCGGAAUAACUCAGGGAAACUUGUUCUAAUACCGAAUGUGCCCUUCGGGGGAAAGAUUUAUCGCCAUUAGAGCGGCCCGCGUCUGAUUAGCUAGUUGGUGAGGUAACGGCUCACCAAGGCGACGAUCAGUAGCUGGUCUGAGAGGAUGACCAGCCACACUGGGACUGAGACACGGCCCAGACUCCUACGGGAGGCAGCAGUGGGGAAUCUUGCGCAAUGGGCGAAAGCCUGACGCAGCCAUGCCGCGUGAAUGAUGAAGGCCUUAGGAUUGUAAAAUUCUUUCACCGGGGACGAUAAUGACGGUACCCGGAGAAGAAGCCCCGGCUAACUUCGUG
rnacentral:rRNA from 1 species